rnacentral:rRNA from 1 species
AUUGAGCGCUGGCGGCAUGCCUUACACAUGCAAGUCGAACGGCAGCACGGGUGCUUGCACCUGGUGGCGAGUGGCGAACGGGUGAGUAAUACAUCGGAACAUGUCCUGUAGUGGGGGAUAGCCCGGCGAAAGCCGGAUUAAUACCGCAUACGAUCUACGGAUGAAAGCGGGGGACCUUCGGGCCUCGCGCUAUAGGGUUGGCCGAUGGCUGAUUAGCUAGUUGGUGGGGUAAAGGCCUACCAAGGCGACGAUCAGUAGCUGGUCUGAGAGGACGACCAGCCACACUGGGACUGAGACACGGCCCAGACUCCUACGGGAGGCAGCAGUGGGGAAUUUUGGACAAUGGGCGAAAGCCUGAUCCAGCAAUGCCGCGUGUGUGAAGAAGGCCUUCGGGUUGUAAAGCACUUUUGUCCGGAAAGAAAUCCUUGGCUCUAAUACAGUCGGGGGAUGACGGUACCGGAAGAAUAAGCACCGGCUAACUACGUG